rnacentral:rRNA from 1 species
AUGGAUACGCAGCCCUACAAACUGCUAGUGUGGAAUUUGCGCUGGCUGAACUCGCCUGCACGACAUAGUGCAAUCUUCCAGGUGGUUGCGGCGGCGAACCCGACCAUUGUUUUCUACCAAGAGACAAAAAUCGAAACCAUGACAUCUAAAAUCGUCAGGCAUUGCCUUGGCAAUAAAUUGGAAAAUUUCUAUUAUCUGCCGACUGUGUGGACUCGUGGAGGUAUAUUAAUCGCAUGGGAUGAGGCUGUUGUGGGGCUUUCGAACCCGCAUCGCACAUUAAACACAAUCUCUGCCCUGGUAAAACCGAAGAGUGGUGGACACUGGUGGCUGACGGGCGUAUAA